UCCACGUGCGGAGUUAUAAAAAUAAUUUAUAUAUAUUCAUUAAAGGUGUUAAAAUUUCUUUUAGGUUGUAGAGGCUUCAGAAACACUGUUGCUCUGUAAAAACAAGCCUUACGUCAGAAGUCGUUGAACUUCCUAUAGAAUGUUAAGUGAUGCAAAAGCCUUUGAAACUACUCAAAUACUACAUAACGAGAAAGUUUACUUUGGAUGUACUGUGAAGACAGGAUGUUAUUAGUUUUCACAGGAAGGUUGGGCAAGAUGGUGCCAGAAGGGCUCCCUCUUUCUGCUACUGCACCAAUCCGGGGUUGUCCUCGUGGACUUCUGUCCCCAGAAAACUCUCUACAGAGAUCAGGGACAUUUAUGAUGUCUGGGAUGGACACCUCCUAACAGCUGGGGACGGGCGCAAUUUGCCUCUGGCCCUUGAUUCUCCAAGUAGGUUGUUGCCUGUCAGGAAAUGGCUGAUGCGGCUGGCGAUCAGUAUUGCUUACACCAUGAAUCACUCUUCUGGAGAUAAAACAUCUCUUCUAUAAAUAUAUUACUGAAAGAGCUGUAUCCACGUAGCUCCCUGACCUUACAUCUGUGGAAAUGAAAGCACCUGCCAUAGGAUGCCAGGUAGUGGCUGUGGUGCCCCUCUGUAGCUUUGCUGUUUUUUGAAGGCAUAGUUUCAGUGCUAGAAACAUCACGACCUGUGGAGAUCUGGCUGUUGCGCUGAUGCUGAGUUUCUCCUCCAUGUUUCCGGCCAGUGAGUGAAGUGUGUUUGGAUGCUGGCUGAAAGUACAGCUAAUAACGUGAGAACGUGACUUUUCCCAUGUAUACAAGAGGUGAUGUUACCAUAGAAACGAGGGAGGGAAGCAGCCUAUGCCAAUGUGAAGAACAGUGAGGCUUUUCUGCAGCAUUUUAAAUGCUUCUGAUGAAUUGUGCAACAAGUGAGAUAGAUGGAUAUGCAGGUUGUAAAUAGGGUAAAUGAGGUGUCUCUUAACAAUCCAGCUGUGUUAUUCUGCAAUUCGUACUCAGAAACUCCAAGCAACCCUUUAUUCCAGCUUUUUUUAAAUUGUCAGGAAAGAUAGGAAUUAAGGAUGCACAGGAGAUUGCAUCCAGAAAAGUCAUCUGCUAUUAAUUUUAAGAGUAGAAAAUGUCCUUUUGCCAUCCUGCUUUAUGACUCCUGUACUUCUUCAAGAUACUACAGAAGACAAAAUAAUCUGGUUCUACUAGGUCUUUCUCCUUUCAGUGUUCAUAUACUGCUGGAUCAUGUGAAGAACUAUGAAAGCAUUUAUAAUGAAAUAAACAUUCAGACAUCUAUACCUAAAUCCUUGCUCAGACAAAACACUAGAAAUUACACAUGUUUUGCUGAGGCACAGAAAUUUUUAACCUGCAGUGUUAUUCCCAGUUUUGCAUCUCUUACAAUUACUUGUUUAUUUAUUUAUUUUUAAAUGGAAAACUUAAUCCUUCUGGCCUGGACACCUGGUCCCUAAUCUGAGGAGUUUGCCAUUUGAAAGAGAUCCAAAAUAAUCACCUAUUUGAAUUAAAGAUAUUUGACUAUAUCUGCUAGGCUGCUUUCAAACUGAAGCCCCAGUCCUGCAAUCUGAUUUUUGCAAGCGAGUUUCAGGAGGGCUGGCACUUCAGAAGUACUCAAAACAAGGAUGAGGAAUUCAGUGAAGUGUUUGGUUUUUUUUUUUCUUUUGAUCUACAGACUUUAACAGGUAGAUUAUCACCUGUAUUUUUGGUAACAUAUUAUUCUGUUUUCUUUUUUCUGUAUUUUCUUCUGCAGUUAAAGGUAUAUCCUUUUCUAUUUGCAGAGCAGAAAAAGUGAAGCAUUUACACCAAAUGUAAUGGAAAUGAGACGCAAAUUGUUUUUGAGGUUCAAAAAUGUGAUGAUUUUUUUUCUUGUGAUUAUAUGGUUUUGUUUGGAUCAAAUAUGGGCUUGUUUGGAUAUAAUUAAAAAAGUUGUUCUCAUCGUAUUUCCAGCAUACAAGAAUGAAAAAAACCCCAAACUUCAAAUCUGAUGGGAAUUCUGUUCUCAUAUUGUAAACAAAAGAGGCUGAGUAAGCAUCAUAGCAUUUGGCUGUUUAUUCUGUUUAUUCUCCAGAAAUCCUGGGAUUCCUUUUCCAGAAUAUCCUUUGUUAGCUCAAAGAUAAGCUUUUAAUUAUUUUUAAUCAGUAUAUGGGAUAUAAAAAUCUGCCUAAAUGGUGAAGAAAUUCUUCCUCAAUCUCUGCUUGAAGAUGAGCAUAGAAAUGAUGACAUCAGUGUAAAACAGUUCUAGAUUUAUUAUUUUUCUGUUCCCGUUCUCAGGCAGCAUAUACUACUUCAAAAAUCUUUAAUGUGAUUGAGUUUCUUAGAAGAGCUGAGCCUUUGCCUAUCAGUUACAGCGUCAUCUACCUUCAGGCAAAUGAAGAGUAGUGUUCAUUAUUCUGAGUGGGUACUGCAGAGCUUCGAUGUCACUUUUGCAUUUGAGUACAGCAGCUCUAGGUGCUGAAGCAGAUACACCUGCAGUAGUUAGGGUGAUCUCCAAUGUGCUAUGCCUAUAGUAGCUGUUAUCAUGAAACUAUUUUAGUGUCUCUCAUCUCUGAGUGUUGCGGUGCUAUGAUGUAUCACUUGGUGCCUGAAUGAUAUCUCUGAGCGAUAGGGCUUAAGAACAGAUGUAGCAUUAUUUUUAGGCAAUUGCCAGGUUGUCCUAGUAUAAAGAGGAAAUUUUCUGUUCUCACUUAACUUCCUGCUGGGUUCAUGGUUUAGUUUGGCAGCUCACAGAGUUCUCAUUGAACUGAUUCAACUGCUUACUGUCACAUCCAUCCACCCACCCACAUGCUAAAAUCCCAAGAUAACAGAAGUCAUGGUUAUAGUAAAAAAAAAAAAAAAAA